rnacentral:rRNA from 1 species
UACAGAGGGUGCAAGCGUUAAUCGGAAUUACUGGGCGUAAAGGGCACGUAGGCGGUAAUUUAAGUUAGUUGUGAAACCCCUGGGCUUAACCUGGGAAGUGCAAUUAAGACUGGAUUGCUUGAGUCGAAGAGAGGUGGGUGGAAUUUCCGGUGUAGCGGUGAAAUGCGUAGAUAUCGGAAGGAACACCGGUGGCGAAGGCGGCCCACUGGCUUCAGACUGACGCUGAGGUGCGAAAGCGUGGGUAGCGAACAGG